ensembl:snoRNA
AUCGAGGCUAGAGUCACGCUUGGGUAUUGGCUAUUGCCUCAGUGUGCUAGAGUCCUCGAAGAGUAACUGCUGACCUUAUUCACUGGCUGUGGGCUUCGUGGCACAGUCAGUCACCAGGGUAGCAACAUGU